UACGGAGGGUGCGAGCGUUAAUCGGAAUAACUGGGCGUAAAGCGCACGCAGGCGGGUGUUUAAGUGAGAUGUGAAAUCCCCGGGCUCAACCUGGGAAUAGCAUUUCAGACUGGGAGUCUAGAGUGCUUGAGAGAGGGGUAGAAUUCCACGUGUAGCGGUGAAAUGCGUAGAGAUGUGGAGGAAUACCGAAGGCGAAGGCAGCCCCGUGGGAAUGUACUGACGCUCAUGUGCGAAAGCGUGGGGAGCAAACAGG
rnacentral:rRNA from 1 species